rnacentral:rRNA from 1 species
CUACGGGCUGCUGCAGUGAGGAAUAUUGGUCAAUGGGCGAAAGCCUGAACCAGCCAUGCCGCGUGAAGGAUGACGGCCCUAUGGGUUGUAAACUUCUUUUAUACGGGAAGAAACACCUCUACGUGUAGAGGUUUGACGGUACCGUACGAAUAAGCAUCGGCUAACUCCGUGCCAGCAGCCGCGGUAAUACGGAGGAUGCAAGCGUUAUCCGGAUUUAUUGGGGUUAAAGGGUACGUAGGCGGAAACUUAAGUCAGUAGUGAAAUCCCGCAGCUUAACUGUGGAACUGUUAUUGAUACUGGGUUUCUUGAAUAUUGUUGAGGUAGGCGGAAUAAGUAAUGUAGCGGUGAAAUGCUUAGAUAUUACUUAGAACACCGAUUGCGAAGGCAGCUUACUAAGCAAUUAUUGACGCUGAGGUACGAAAGCGUGGGGAGCGAACAGGAUUAGAUACCCUCGUAGUC